UUCCAUCUCUUCAACCUUACAUAUGCUACACAUCCAACAACAUAUGUAACAUCUCCCAAAAUAUAAAAUGAGAGCAACAUAUCUCUUCAUCUUUUUCAUCUUGUUCAUGCGAGAAGCCAUUUUCACACACACCGUUGCUUCUCUCUCUAAGGGGCUUCCGCAUUCACAUUUUUUUUAUCUGAAACGAGAAGUCCUGAGGCCGCCGCCGGCGCCAAUAGCUGCAUCAGGUCCUCGCGAGAUUCCGCCGUCGCCGCCGCCUCCGCCACCACAUGUCCCCAAGGUACUCACAGGCCGAGGCUGAGACUAGUACUCUAUCAAUGUCGAUUUUUGCCAUUGCUGGGACUUGGUUCUGCAUCCCCAUCCUGAUUUUGAUAUUUUGGUCCCAAUGUUUUCGGUUGUGGAAUUUUGCAAAUCUGAAAAAUUGUUCAAUAAAAGUUUAUGGAAAUCGAAGAAUAUGAUGACUUGUUGUGGAUCAAAUUUGUUAUAUUUAUAUGUGAUGGAUGGAAGUCAAUGUAUUUUCCUAUUUCAAUAAUAUUUCUAUGUAAUGUAAACUCUACAACAAUUAUUUCAUGAUUAAUACAAUAACAAGUUGUAUAUAA